rnacentral:rRNA from 1 species
AGUCCAUAUCGACGGGGAGGUUUGGCACCUCGAUGUCGGCUCGUCGCAUCCUGGGGCUGAAGCAGGUCCCAAGGGUUUGGCUGUUCGCCAAUUAAAGCGGUACGCGAGCUGGGUUUAGAACGUCGUGAGACAGUUCGGUCCCUAUCCGUCGUGGGCGUAGGAUACUUGAAGAGGGUCUGCCUCUAGUACGAGAGGACCGAGGUGGACGAACCUCUAGUGUACCAGUUGUCCUGCUCAGGGCACCGCUGGGUAGCUAUGUUCGGUCGGGAUAAACGCUGAAAGCAUCUAAGUGUGAAACCCACCUCAAGAUUAGGUAUCCCAUCUGGAUUUAUCCAGAGAGAGACCCCGGGUAGACUACCCGGUUGAUAGGUCAGAAGUGUAAGGACAGUAAUGUCUUUAGCUAACUGAUACUAAUAGGUCGAGGACUUGACCGU